UACGUAGGGUGCAAGCGUUGUCCGGAAUUAUUGGGCGUAAAGAGCUUGUAGGCGGUUUGUCGCGUCUGCUGUGAAAUUUCGGGGCUCAACCCCGAACUUGCAGUGGGUACGGGCAGACUAGAGUGUGGUAGGGGAGACUGGAAUUCCUGGUGUAGCGGUGAAAUGCGUAGAUAUCAGGAGGAACACCGGUGGCGAAGGCAGCUCGCUGGAACGGUACUGACGCUGAGGCGCGAAAGCGUGGGGAGCAAACAGG
rnacentral:rRNA from 1 species